rnacentral:rRNA from 1 species
GACGAACGCUGGCGGCGUGCUUUAGGCAUGCAAGUCGAACGCGAAAGCCCCUUCGGGGGUGAGUAGAGUGGCGAACGGGUGAGUAACACGUGGGUAACCUGCCCCUCGCAGGGGGAUAACCGGGGGAAACCCCGGCUAAUACCCCGUACGCUGCUGGGGCGCAUGCUCCGGCAAGGAAAGGUAGCUUCGGCCAUCCGGCGAGGGAGGGGCCCGCGGCCCAUUAGCUAGUUGGUGGGGUAACGGCCCACCAAGGCGACGAUGGGUAGCUGGCCUGAGAGGGUGGUCAGCCACACUGGGACUGAGACACGGCCCAGACUCCUACGGGAGGCAGCAGCCAGGAAUCUUGCGCAAUGGGCGAAAGCCUGACGCAGCAACGCCGCGUGGGCGAUGAAGGCCUUCGGGUCGUAAAGCCCUGUUGUCGGGGACGAAGGGCGAAGGGUUAAUAGCCCCUAGCCUGACGGUACCCGACGAGGAAGCCCCGGCUAACUACGUG